UGAGGAUGGUAGUUUCAGGGGCAGACCCAGGAUUAAUAGUUCAGGGAGGCGAGAUAGAGUUACACAAACAAUAAACAAAAGAGAAGGCAAAAGCAACAAUAGAAAUUUCUCUCGACAUUUUCUUCAAUAGAAAUUUCCUCAAUGCAUGAUUUCUUUGCGUCAACAUUUUCUUCAAUAGAAAUUCGAGAUACUUGUUUAAAAUAUCUCAACAUAUCAUCCUGCAAAUCAAAUGAAACUUGCACAAACAAAAGAGAAGGCAAAAAGCAACAGACUUGUAUAAACAACAUAUCUUUAAUUCUACACAACUUGAUGUUUAUAAAUAAGAUCAAGCCCAAAGCAACAAAAUGCUACAGUUUUUUAUGUAUAUCAAAUGACAAAAGAGAGAGAGAGGGGCAAGAAUCCAAUUUGUUGUCUAAUCUCAAUACCAGGAAAGGGGGAAAAAAAAAAAUCAAGCAGAAACAUUAGAUUAUAUAUUUGCAAAGAGAGAAUAAUAUCAAUCCCCAAAAAGAAAAAAAGAAAAAAAAAAAAAAAAAAAAAAAAAAAAAAGGAGAGAAAAACUCCAACUAUACACACACAACACCGCUAUAGGUACAAAUCUUAGAUUCACAAUUCAUUGCACAAAUUAACAGAGAAGUUAAAGUAAGUUUAAAUCAUAAGCAAGCUUAAAAACUUUCAUAUUGUCCUUAGCAAGAAAGAGGGUUAAAAUAAGAUUGAAAUUUGAUUCUCAUACAAAUUAUACAAUGAACAAUCUGUCUUGUUUCACAUUUUAAAACACAGAUAUCCUACUCCUACUUCUCAACUUUACCUAAAGGCAGAAUACUCACCUCUCUUGCACACUUCAAAUUUGGUGGGUAUCCAGAGCUGGUUUCUAUCACUAACAAUGCUGACAAAGAACACUGUGUGUGCUUCCUCCAUCUUCUUAAGAAACGGUGCUUGAAUAAAAAUGGAAACUACUGGCCCAAUAUUGAGGACAUUCCCGACUUCAAAUAUGAUGAACAUUCAUCUAUGAUCCAUGUCCAUGAAUUCAAUUACAAGAGGUAACAAAUUUAAUUUGAUACCUAUGAAUCUCAGCAUCAUUUCAUGCAGAACACUUUUCCACAUUUUGUUAAUUAUUUUUCAAAUCAGAAUGUGAAUUUUCUGCAGUAAAUAGUGAACUUGUACACUUUUUCUAACACCUAUUCAAGUUUUCAUGCUACUCUGUAUCUUAUAUGUGUGCUUCUGCUCUGCAGUAUGAAUCAAUAUCAGAGCCGAUAUACCUACAAUCGAGUAAUUGAUGGGCUAUGGCGCUAAAAUCAGCCUCUCUUCUCACCUUGUAUGUGUUCUAUUAAGAGUAAAAUUCUAUCAAAAAAACAAAUCUGACUGAUAGUUGUUUGUUCAAUUAAUUACCUUCAACUUGGAUAGAAUAUUUGAUUAAGUCAUUAAUAUUUUGCUUUGAUCUGCUUUAGCAAACUGGAAAUGGAUUGAUUCAACUUACUAAAUGUUCAUGCAUUUUGGAAUUUUCAUGUUUACUAUAUGCUUUAGCAAACUGGAAAUGGAUGCGCGUUUUGCAAACCUUUUUUGUAGAGUGGAAGUUCUUAAACCAUUUGAAUGAAAAAUUCGUUGUUUUGGUGUAGGCAUUUUUUGAUUACUUGUAAGAACGCAAGAUGGAAUGAAGGUACCUCUUCUAUGAGACUUUAAAGUAAGUUUCUUUUUCGAUUUACUAUCUGAAAUGCAUUUAAGUGUUUGUGUAAAUGCCACAGUGAAAUUAUAUGGAAGGAUCUGUGACUGAAGCUAUGUUCAGACAUAAAACUUUUCUUGCCUUUUUCAUUUCAUAAUUAAUAUUUUCUGAUUAUUUCUCAGAAUGAAACUUUUCCUUUUGAAGAUUCCAUUCUGUGACAAUCAAAAAAUCUAUUUAGUCUGUGAAAAUGUCUUGACUAGGCUAGAAUCCUUUUACAUGUUUUUUU
rnacentral:lncRNA from 1 species